UCUGCCAUCAGGUCUGGGACAACCACUGGAAACGGUGGCUAAUACCGGAUGUGCCCUUCGGGGUGAAAGGUUAACUGCCUGUUGAUGAGCUCGCGUCUGAUUAGCUAGUUGGUGUGGUAAGAGCGCACCAAGGCGACGAUCAGUAGCUGGUCUGAGAGGACGAUCAGCCACACUGGGACUGAGACACGGCCCAGACUCCUACGGGAGGCAGCAGUGGGGAAUUUUCCGCAAUGGGCGAAAGCCUGACGGAGCAAUACCGCGUGAGGGAGGAAGGCUCUUGGGUCGUAAACCUCUUUUCUCAGGGAAGAACACAAUGACGGUACCUGAGGAAUAAGCAUCGGCUAACUCCGUGCCAGCAGCCGCGGUAAUACGGAGGAUGCAAGCGUUAUCCGGAAUGAUUGGGCGUAAAGCGUCCGCAGGUGGCUAUGUAAGUCUGCUGUUAAAGAGUCUAGCUCAACUAGAUAAGAGCAGUGGAAACUACAAGGCUAGAGUGCGUUCGGGGCAGAGGGAAUUCCUGGUGUAGCGGUGAAAUGCGUAGAGAUCAGGAAGAACACCAGUGGCGAAGGCGCUCUGCUAGGCCGCAACUGACACU
rnacentral:rRNA from 1 species